AUUGAACGCUGGCGGCAGGCCUAACACAUGCAAGUCGAGCGGAUGAAGGGAGCUUGCUCCUGGAUUCAGCGGCGGACGGGUGAGUAAUGCCUAGGAAUCUGCCUGGUAGUGGGGGAUAACGUCCGGAAACGGGCGCUAAUACCGCAUACGUCCUGAGGGAGAAAGUGGGGGAUCUUCGGACCUCACGCUAUCAGAUGAGCCUAGGUCGGAUUAGCUAGUUGGUGGGGUAAAGGCCUACCAAGGCGGCGAUCCGUAACUGGUCUGAGAGGAUGAUCAGUCACACUGGAACUGAGACACGGUCCAGACUCCUACGGGAGGCAGCAGUGGGGAAUAUUGGACAAUGGGCGAAAGCCUGUUCCAGCCAUGCCGCGUGUGUGAAGAAGGUCUUCGGAUUGUAAAGCACUUUAAGUUGGGAGGAAGGGCAGUAAGUUAAUACCUUGCUGUUUUGACGUUACCAACAGAAUAAGCACCGGCUAACUUCGUG
rnacentral:rRNA from 1 species